AUGAUGGGCCGUUUUCGCCGCCUCUUAAAUGACUUGGAGCUCAAGGAGGCCUGCCUCAUUGGGCGGAGAUAUACUGGGAGCAACGAGAGACGUCAGCCCACGCUCGAAAAGAUUGACCGCUGGUUCUCCACGGCGGACUGGGAUGCGGGCCAUCCGGACCACCUGCUGCAGGCAUUGUCAUCAUCCAUCUCAGACCACCUUUGUGGACCUUUUUCUGCGAUUGAAAGCCACUGCCAAAGCGCUGACCAAAUGGAAUCAGUCUAA
rnacentral:rRNA from 1 species